rnacentral:rRNA from 1 species
UUUCCGUAGGUGAACCUGCGGAAGGAUCAUUAUUGAAAUAAAUCUGAUGGGUUGCUGCUGGCUCUCUAGGGUGCAUGUGCACACUUGUCAUCUUUAUAUCUCCACCUGUGCACCUUUUGUAGAUCUGGAUAUCUUUCUGAAUGCCUGGCAUUCAGGUUUGAGGAUUGACUUUUGUCUUUCCUUACAUUUCCAGGCCUAUGUUUUCUUCAUAUACACCAUGUAUGUUAUAGAAUGUAAUAAACAGGGCCUUUGUGCUACAAACCUAUACAACUUUCAGCAACGGAUCUCUUGGCUCUCGCAUCGAUGAAGAACGCAGCGAAAUGCGAUAAGUAAUGUGAAUUGCAGAAUUCAGUGAAUCAUCGAAUCUUUGAACGCACCUUGCGCUCCUUGGUAUUCCGAGGAGCAUGCCUGUUUGAGUGUCAUUAAUAUAUCAACCUCCUCAGGUUUUUACUUGUUGAGUGUUUGGAUGUGGGGGUAUUUUUUUGUUGGUCUCUUUUGAGGUCGGCUCCCCUGAAAUGCAUUAGCGGAACAAUUUGUUGACCCGUUCAUUGGUGUGAUAACUAUCUACGCUUUUGACGCGAAGCAGGUUCAGCUUCUAACAGUCCAUUGACUUGGACAAAUUUUCAUUAAUGUGACCUCAAAUCAGGUAGGACUACCCGCUGAACUUAA